AUGUAUAUGUACAGUACAUGCACAUUUUGCCCUGUUACUUUCUCUUCAUUCUCUUCCCCUUUUUGCUACAUUUUCUUCAAGAUAAUAUGCUUUCUUUUAUUACAGGCAGGAAUCACUUUCCAUAGAGGACUUCAAGUCAUCCCCUCUCACUAUAUUUUUUUUCUGUCUGCUUCACCUGUUUGUAAUAGGCAUACACUUGGAAGAGAUCAUUGGCUAAUCACUCUUGAAUGGAAUGAAACUGCAACACUGGCUUUAAAUAGGAACAGAUGGAGAAGAUGUGGAUUGGCCUCACUGCACCUAUUAUCUUUCUACUCUAUACCAGACAUAACAGGAUCAUGCUGUCUUGGUGUGAGCAAUUCGAGUCUUCAUUGUUUUUACCAUGGUAUAAGCUUGUGGUGGUAUAUAGCCCGAUACCAGAUGGAGGAAGAUAAAGGAUGUUCUCACUGUUUCACUGAAAGACACGGCAAAGCUGAGGGCCCACGAUAGGCACACAGAGAGAAAGCUCUAUCUUCCAGACUGUUAAAAAUGCCCACUGCCUAAAAAGCAGGAUUAUUACACCAUAUGUCAAUAUCAUUCACAAUACAUCUAAAUGCUUUUGAGGACACCAUCAUGAGCUUGUUCCACAGGUAUGGCUAUGAAUACAUUAAGAAAACCCCCUUAGAAUAAACAACUUGGUGAAUUGCCCACUUUUCCAAUGUGCUAUCCCAGUGCCCCUUUUAUCCUCUUGAUGGAGGAGAAUGGCAUUUUCCCAUGGCUCUAAGAGCCAGCUGAAUUCAGAACAGAUGGCUAAUGUGAGCCUUAGUGUUUACACUUCUGUUUCUAUCAAUUUCAUUCUUUAAAGCAGUGCUAUAGAAAAAACUAUGAAAUUCAUGGGGUCGCCAUCAGUCGACAGGCAGCAUGCAGGCACUUACACAAACAUACAUAGAAUGGCUUACACUUGUCUUGUCCACAUCUAUAGGUGGCAAUGUUACAUAUUGUCAGCAUUGAGCAAGGUUCUUUCCAUACAUAGUAGCCUAAAUUGCAACAAAAUGUAUCUCUGUAUUCUGAUGAAUUUACAGUUUAAAUUUAAUCAAUGAAGCUGAAAGAAUAGCAUGAAGAAAAAGGGAUGGAAAGGAUGAAGGAAAAACAGAAAGGUGAAUGGGUACUGAUAUAUGCCAAAAUAUAUAGGCACAUUUCAAUGCGUUUCCACCAGGAAUAAGAUACUGCUGCUAUUUAAAAUGCAUUAGACACUUAAAAAAAAAAGACUGACAUGCAAUGGUUUAAAACAUAUAAAUCAGUAUCCCUGUAAUAUAGUAUUGCACAGGGACAACAAGAAGCUUAUAUCAAGCUCUGUUUAAAAAGGGAGACAUUAAAGCAGGGGUCCCCAAACUUUUAAAACAGGGGGCCAGUUCACGAUCCUUCAGACCGUUGGAGGGCCGGACUAUAGUUGGCCACCAAGCAAUAAUAAUUAAUAACAACAACAACAACAACAAUAAUAAUAAUAACAAAGAGGGUUGGAAGAGACCCGUUGGGCCAUUGAGUCCAAUCCCCUUCUGCCUUUGUGCACCGAAAGCACAAGCAAAGCACCCCUGACAGAUGGCCGCCCAACCUCAAUGUUAAUAAUAAUAAUAAUAAUAAUAAUAAAGAGGGUUGGAAGAGACCCCUUGGGCCAUUUAGUCCAACCUCCUUCUGCCUUUGUGGACCAAAAGCACAAGCAAAGCAUCCCUGACAGAUGGCCACCCAGCCUCAAUGUUAAUAAUAAUUAAUAAUACUAAUAGUAAUAAUAAUACUACUGCUAAUAAUAAUAAUGGUUGUAAGAGAAGAAGAGACCCUUUGAGUCAUUUAGCCCAACCCACUUCUGCCCUUGUGCCGUGGGGGCCGGAUAAAUAGCUUUGAUGGGCCGCAUCCGGCCCCCGGGCCUUAGUUUGGGGACCCCUGCAUUAAAGAAUAUAUAUCAAGCUCUGUUUAAAAAGGGAGACAUUAAAGAAUAUACUAAAACACAGCUUAAAGAAAUUGUACAAUCAGUAUUACAUAUACAAUUCCAAACAUGUAGAAUUGCAAGGAAUCGGCACAGUUCCCUGCUUUCUUUUGUCUUAGUGGCAUACUCAUGUAGAUUAUUGCAUACAUUCAAAUGCAAGGUUUACUGCAUGAAAAGCUCUUUAAACUUCACUCACAACUAACCAGAGAGAUUUUAAGUCCUUUCAACAGAAAACAGAAGGGAGUUUGACAAAUAAUUUGAGAUACAGCACUGUGAGGCAAGAGGGUGGGCAUUUGUACACUAUUCAGACACAAAAGUCAAUAGUACAAAACAAAUUCAUGCAAGAAAAAGCUUCACCACCACAAUGGAGAAAGCCAUGCACAUGGAAGUAUGGUAUUAUCUAUAUACAACUUUUCACAUAUACUUUACAGAUUAGUUUACAAACACACAGAGACCAAAGUUUAAUAUAAAUUAUUGAAUAAAACAGAAAACACAAUUAACUGGAAAACAUAAGAUAAGCAACAGAGGAAUUCACCCUAAGUGCUGCAUUAUUUGAGAAGGGAUGUAGCUUAGGUUCACAGCAGAUACAUUGCUUGCAGAAAGUUUUUGGCUAUUCCAGAUUGGCCUGGAAAAACUUUUGCGUAAAACUCUGGACAGCCAGUGCUACUCGGUGCUAUGAAUACGGUCUUGGCUUGGUGUAAGGCAGCUUCAUACGUUCAAGUCAGAUUCUUGACUCUCCCCAAUGGGCUUAGUAAAUCCCAUUAUGGCAGUUUGAGCAGGGGGGGCUACCUAAACUAGGGUGGUAUUACUCGGUUCCCUAUCCUCUAGUGGUAAGGUUACCCAUUCAGAAUUAUCCCAACGCUCUGCUCCAAAACCUGAGAAUUAGAGGUGACCCGUGGUGAUGUUGUCCCAAGAACUGAUGAGCUUAUUUCCUUGUGUGCCAAGGCUCAAAUAUUCCCAAGCAACAACAGACAAACAUGGGGGCUGGGUCAGAGAUCUUUACUGAUUCAAUGAUCAAAGAAAAAUGUUCAGUGGAAGGUUCCCAGAUCAUAGAAUCAUAGAGUUGGAAGAGACCUCAGGGGCCAUCCAGUCUAACCCCCUGCCAAGAAGCAGGAAAUUGCAUUCAAAGCAUCCCCGACAGAUGGCCAUCCAGCAUCUGCUUAAAAGUCUCCAAAGAAGGAGCCUCCACCACAGUCUGGGGCAGAGAGUUCUAGUGCCAAACUGCUCUCACAGUGAGGAAGUUCUUCCUAAUGUUCAGGUGGAAUCUCCUUUCCCGUAGUUUGAAGCCAUUGUUCCUAGUCUGCAGGGCAGCAGAAAACAAGCUUGCUCCCCCCUCCCUAUGAAUCUCACCUCACAUAUUUAUACAUGGCUAUCAUGUCUCUUUUCAGCCUUCUCUUCUGCAGGUUAAACAUGCCCAGCUCUUUAAGCCACUCCUCAUAGGGCUUGUUCUCCAGACCCGUGACCAUUUUAGUUGCCCUCCUCCGGACACAUUCCAUCUUGUCAACAACUCCCUUCAACUGUGGUGCCCAGAAUUGGACGCAGUAUUCCAGGUGUGGUCUCACCAAGGCAGAAUAGAGGGGGAGCAUGACUUCCCUGGAUCUAGACAUUAUACUCCUAUUGAUGCAGGCCAAAAUUCUGUUGGCUUUUUAAGCUGCUGCACAUAUCUUUCUGUUUGUGGCUGUCAGUAUGUUAUGGUUUUCAAAAACAAUGUGGUUUGCUUUGAUUGGUACAAAGUUAACAGUCUGGUUUUCAUUGGCUUGAUGUACAUACAUUUCUGGAUUUUUUACAACUGUGAUUGACAAAUUGUGUACAGCGGGAAUUUUUAAUAAAGUUUUAUUGGAGUUUGUUGCUAGCUAAUCAUGUCUGUCCCCAUUUUGUGGGCUGGGUUUUCCAAAGGGGACAAAGCGUGGCUGGCCACAAUAGUGGUGGUGAUGGGAUAUCAGGAUGAGGAAUAGGUUGACCUUAGGUGAUGAGAUUUCAUGCUCCCUUUUCAAUGGGACAAUGGAAAGUUGUGCUAAUGUGAUGAGAUUUCUGAUUGCUCUAAAUAGAAUUUAUUCAAUAUUGCUGGUGAUUGGCUGCCAGUUGAAGAUUUUGACAACUACUUGAAUCCAGGUGUUUGUCUGGUUACUGGCUGAUAUGGAAUUUCCUGUGUCCCACCUGUGAGCUUGCUUAUUGACGUUUCAAGGGGGAGACAGAUGGGACUCCAAACAAGGACUUUCCAUUACCUCAUGACCAGAGGGAUACCAAACCCAUUUUUGAACAACAUCAAUAAAUAUUCAUUAUUACAUGUAAAUCACAGGUGCUUACAGCUUAUUAUUCAAAGGGACACACAGAAAACAUCAUCAGAAGAAACCAAAAUGAAAACAUAAAUUUCUUUUUGGAAAUUAAUAGAGAAAUCUUAGGUGAA
rnacentral:lncRNA from 1 species